rnacentral:rRNA from 1 species
AGUGAACGCUGGCGGUAGGCCUAACACAUGCAAGUCGAACGGCAGCACAGUAAGAGCUUGCUCUUACGGGUGGCGAGUGGCGGACGGGUGAGGAAUACAUCGGAAUCUACUUUUUCGUGGGGGAUAACGUAGGGAAACUUACGCUAAUACCGCAUACGACCUACGGGUGAAAGCAGCGGAUCUUCGGACCUUGCGCGAUUGAAUGAGCCGAUGUCGGAUUAGCUAGUUGGCGGGGUAAAGGCCCACCAAGGCGACGAUCCGUAGCUGGUCUGAGAGGAUGAUCAGCCACACUGGAACUGAGACACGGUCCAGACUCCUACGGGAGGCAGCAGUGGGGAAUAUUGGACAAUGGGCGCAAGCCUGAUCCAGCCAUACCGCGUGAGUGAAGAAGGCCUUCGGGUUGUAAAGCCCUUUUGUUGGGAAAGAAAAGCAGCAGGUUAAUACCCCGCUGUUCCGACGGUACCCAAAGAAUAAGCACCGGCUAACUUCGUG